AAAUUACGCUCACGAUUAUUUAAAACUAUUUACGAACAAGCUAGCUGUGGACAUUACUUGGCGUGUAACUGCGGAGAAACCCAGCAUCCAAUGAUUCUCCACAUAUUUCAUUGUAAAAGAAAUGGGUUUUACUAAAUUUCUCAUGACGACGGAGCUGGACCUAAAUAACAUUGUUCAGCAAAAUUUCCUAUAUGCCAGGGACGGUGUAUACAAGCGGACAAAGCCCUUAUACAAAAUAUAAAUGC